UAGGGAAUCUUCCACAAUGGGCGAAAGCCUGAUGGAGCAACGCCGCGUGAGUGAUGAAGGCAUUCGGGUUGUAAAACUCUGUCAUUCGGGACGAACCGGAGUCUGAGGAAAUGCAGACUCUCUGACGGUACCGGAGGAGGAAGCCCCGGCUAACUACGUGCCAGCAGCCGCGGUACUACGUAGGGGGCAAGCGUUGUCCGGAUUCACUGGGCGUAAAGCGCGCGCAGGCGGUGAUGUAAGUCUGAGGUGAAAACCCGAAGCUCAACUUCGGGACUGCCUUGGAUACUGCGUCACUUGAGGAUAGGAGAGGCGAGAGGAAUUCCACGGGUAGCGGUGAAAUGCGGAGAGUUGUGGAGGAACACCUGUGGCGAAGGCGCAUUGCUGGCCUAUUUCUAACGAUGAGGCGCGAAAGCGUGGGGAGCAAACAGG
rnacentral:rRNA from 1 species